AGGACGAACGCUGGCGGCGUGCUUAACACAUGCAAGUCGAGCGGAAAGGCCCUUCGGGGUACUCGAGCGGCGAACGGGUGAGUAACACGUGAGUAAUCUGCCCCUAGCUCUGGGAUAGCUCCGGGAAACCGGGAUUAAUACCGGAUACGACCACCUUAGACAUCUUUUGUGGUGGAAAGAAUUUCGGCUAGGGAUGAGCUCGCGGCCUAUCAGCUUGUUGGUGGGGUAACGCCUACCAAGGCGACGACGGGUAGCCGGCCUGAGAGGGCGACCGGCCACACUGGGACUGAGACACGGCCCAGACUCCUACGGGAGGCAGCAGUGGGGAUAUUGCGCAAUGGGCGAAAGCCUGACGCAGCGACGCCGCGUGGGGGAUGAAGGCCUUCGGGUUGUAAACCCCUUUCAGCAGGGACGAAGCGAAAGUGACGGUACCUGCAGAAGAAGCGCCGGCUAACUACGUGCCAGCAGCCGC
rnacentral:rRNA from 1 species